UGGAUCCUACGGGGCGCAGCAGUGAGGAAUAUUGGUCAAUGGUCGGGAGACUGAACCAGCCACGCCGCGUGAGGGAUGAAGGUACAGAGUAUCGUAAACCUCUUUUGUCAGGGAACAAAGGCGGGGACGUGUCCCCGGAUGAGUGUACCUGAAGAAAAAGCAUCGGCUAACUCCGUGCCAGCAGCCGCGGUAAUACGGAGGAUGCGAGCGUUAUCCGGAUUUAUUGGGUUUAAAGGGUGCGUAGGCGGAACAUUAAGUCAGCGGUAAAAUCGAGGGGCUCAACCCCUUUAAGCCGUUGAAACUGG
rnacentral:rRNA from 1 species